rnacentral:rRNA from 1 species
UACAGAGGUGGCGAGCGUUGUUCGGAUUUACUGGGCGUAAAGGGAGCGUAGGCGGCGUUGUGUGUCGGAUGUGAAAUCCCACGGCUCAACCGUGGAACGUCAUCCGAAACUACAACGCUAGAGUGCAGGAGGGGAGAGCGGAAUUCUUGGUGUAGCGGUGAAAUGCGUUGAUAUCAAGAGGAACACCGGUGGCGAAGGCGGCUCUCUGGAAUGCAACUGACGCUGAGGCUCGAGAGCGUGGGGAGCAAACAGG